rnacentral:rRNA from 1 species
CCUACGGUGCGCUGCAGUGGGGAAUAUUGGACAAUGGGCGAAAGCCUGAUCCAGCCAUGCCGCGUGUGUGAAGAAGGCCUUCGGGUUGUAAAGCACUUUCAGUGGGGAAGAAAGCCUUGGGGCUAAUACCCUCGAGGAAGGACAUCACCCACAGAAGAAGCACCGGCUAACUCCGUGCCAGCAGCCGCGGUAAUACGGAGGGUGCGAGCGUUAAUCGGAAUUACUGGGCGUAAAGCGCGCGUAGGCGGUCUGAUAAGCCGGUUGUGAAAGCCCCGGGCUCAACCUGGGAACGGCAUCCGGAACUGUCAGGCUAGAGUGCAGGAGAGGAAGGUAGAAUUCCCGGUGUAGCGGUGAAAUGCGUAGAGAUCGGGAGGAAUACCAGUGGCGAAGGCGGCCUUCUGGACUGACACUGACGCUGAGGUGCGAAAGCGUGGGUAGCAAACAGGAUUAGAUAACCGGGUAGUC